rnacentral:rRNA from 1 species
AGAGUUUGAUUCUGGCUCAGAACGAACGCUGGCAGCGUGGAUUAGGCAUGCAAGUCGAACGAUAAGUUUUUUCUUCAAUCUUUCGAGAGAGAAGAGAAGAUGGACAGUGGCGAAAGGGUGAGGAACACGUGGGCAAUCUACCUCUAAGUCGGGGACAACCCCGGGAAACUGGGGCUAAUACCGGAUGUGGUCAUUUAUCGCAUGGUAGAUAUAUUAAAGGUGGGGAAUCUUCGGAUCCUGCCGCUUAGAGAGGAGCCCGCGUCCCAUCAGCUUGUUGGUAAGGUAAUGGCUUACCAAGGCUUACGGGUAGCUGGUCUGAGAGGAUGGUCAGCCACACUGGGACUGAGACACUGCCCAGACUCCUACGGGAGGCUGCAGUCGAGAAUCAUUCGCAAUGCGCGAAAGCGUGACGAUGCGACGCUGCGUGGAGGAUGAAGGCCCUAGGGUCGUAAACUCCUGUCAUUUGGGAAAAAUAGUACUUUAGUUAAUAACUUUAGUAUUUGAUGGUACCAAAAGAGGAAGCCACGCUAACUCUGUGCCAGCAGCCGCGGUAAUACAGAGGUGGCGAGCGUUGUUCGGAUUUACUGGGCGUAAAGGGUGCGUAGGUGGUCAUGUGUGUCGGGUGUGAAAGCCCACGGCUCAACCGUGGAAUUGCAUUCGAAACUGCAUGACUUGAGUGUAGGAGGGGUAAGCGGAAUUCUUGGUGUAGCGGUAAAAUGCGUUGAUAUCAAGAAGAACACCGGCGGCGAAGGCGGCUUACUGGAAUACUACUGACACUGAGGCACGAAAGCUAGGGGAGCGAAGAGGAUUAGAUACCCUCGUAGUCCUAGCCGUAAACGGUGCACACUUGGUGUGGAGGGAAUUGACCCCCUCCGUGCCGGAGCUAACGCGUUAAGUGUGCCGCCUGGGGAGUACGGCCGCAAGGCUAAAACUCAAAGAAAUUGACGGGGGCCCGCACAAGCGGAGGAGCAUGUGGCUUAAUUCGAUGCAACGCGAAGAACCUUACCAGGGCUUGACAUAUACCUGCACGCCCCGUGAAAGCGGGGAAGCCUUCGAGGGUGGUAUACAGGUGCUGCAUGGCUGUCGUCAGUUCGUGCCGUGAGGUGUUGGGUUAAGUCCCGCAACGAACGCAACCCUUGUGUUUAGUUGCCACUCCCAGUGUUAAGCUGGGAAGCACUCUAGACAGACUGCCCGUGCAAGCGGGAGGAAGGUGGGGAUGACGUCAAGUCAGUAUGGCCCUUACGCCCUGGGCUGCACACGUGCUACAAUGACAGGUACAAUAGGAAGCAAAACCGCGAGGUGGAGCCAAUCCUCAAAACCUGCCUCAGUUCGGAUUGGAGUCUGCAACUCGACUCCAUGAAGUUGGAUUCGCUAGUAACGGUGUAUCAGCUACGACACCGUGAAUACGUUCCCGGGCCUUGUACACACCGCCCGUCACAUCAUGAAAGCCGUCUGCACCCGAAGUCGCUGAGCCAAUCUUUUACGAGAAGGCAGGUGCCGAAGGUGUGGGUGGUGAUUGGGAUGAAGUCGAAACAAGGUA